rnacentral:ncRNA from 2 species
UAUGGGGUAGGAAGUAAUGCGUCAAGUGCCGAAGGGACGGAAUGUGAACUUCGGACGAAAAUAACUUGGUUUUGGCUUGCCAAAUUGUUGCGGUGUUACUUUCGCAUUCGCCAUU